UUGGAGGGCAAGUCUGGUGCCAGCAGCCGCGGUAAUUCCAGCUCCAAUAGCGUAUAUUAAAGUUGUUGCAGUUAAAAAGCUCGUAGUUGAAUUUCGGGAUCAAUAUGCUGGUCGUGCCAUUGGUACGUACUGGCAUUAUUGGUUUCUACCUUCUGAAGAACCUCGAUGUCAUUAAUUCGGUGUCUUGGGGAAUCAGGACUGUUACUUUGAAAAAAUUAGAGUGUUUAAAGCAGGCUCGCGCUUGAAUACAUUAGCAUGGAAUAAUGAAAUAGGACGUUUGAUUCUAUUUUGUUGGUUUCUAGGAUCGACGUAAUGAUUAAUAGGGAUAGUUGGGGGCAUUAGUAUUCAAUUGUCAGAGGUGAAAUUCUUGGAUUUAUUGAAGACUAACUACUGCGAAAGCAUUUGCCAAGGAUGUUUUCAUUAAUCAAGAACGAAAGUUAGGGGAUCGAAGACGAUCAGAUACCGUCGUAGUCUUAACCAUAAACUAUGCCGACUAGGGAUCGGAUGAUGUUAAUUUUUUAAUGACUCAUUCGGCGCCUUACGGGAAAC
rnacentral:rRNA from 1 species